GUUUCAUAAUUUAGUUAUCGCACUAGACUGGUACUUUGUGAAAUAUCACAAAUAAUGAAUGAAUUAGCGAAUUGUUUCCCUUUGAAAUCUACACGCCAUUAACGGUGUAUACAUGUGUGAAACUGGGUCAGAGAAAACAUGCAGUUAUUGCUCUGAAUAUACGCGGAUAUUUAAAGUGCACGGCGGAUUUAUUGGUUGUUAUGGACAACCUCCAGCAGUAUGAGAUAUAAAUGUUCACUGCAGUUUUGACAAUGCCCAUCAAGUGCCAUGGAGUUGCUUGUAUGAAAAGUACAGUACUGCUGUUGGAAGAGGAGCAGUGUGGUAUCUAUGGUCCACCAUCACUUCAAGCAUUAUGACUGUGGAUAAAAGAAGGUUUUAUUACAUAUGGACAAUUAUACUGGACAAAAUAAGAAGUGUUCUAAUAAGUUCUGGAAUGUGGCUUGUUAUGAUGGGUCUACAUGAUUGACUUGGAGUACAACCUGAUGGGGACUGGGCUUGCAGAAUUCAGUCCUGAACAUGUUUAGAAUGUCAGAAUGACCUAGUAUAGUAUUCUUGAAGGAUUAUAACUUCAACACAGAGACGGAGAUUAAUAUUUUAGGCAGGGGAUUGGCAUGACAGGCAAAUUCUCCAACUGUAUUACCAUUCCUGAGCUGGAUGCCAGCCGACAGUGGUACCUGUAUAAUGAAAUAGCGCCCCUUUGCAGCAACAGCAAUGUAUGCUCAAAACUAGCAGUGCCAAAGCCAUUAAAAUUGAGAACUCAGUCAUUUAAAACAAAGAAUGAAUGGAAAAAAAGUGUUUAACAUUUGAAGUAAUACAGAGAAAGAGCUUAGCUCAUUUGGUAUUUUCUGAAAUUUUAAUUAAUUUUGAAAGUGUUUUUUGAUUUUUUAAAGGUGUACUAGACCCAAAUUCCAUUUAUGAGCAGUGCCAUGG